rnacentral:lncRNA from 1 species
AUAGCAGUGGAGCUGAGAUUCAGCUCAGUUGUAGUCAAACCCAAUCUUUAAAAUAGAAAUAGGUGUUCCCAUUAAGGUGCAGUGGAAAUGAAUUCGACUAGUAUCACAAGGACUCGAGUUUGAUCCCUGGCCCUGCUCAGUGGGUUAAAGAUCCGGUGGUGCCAUGAGCUGUGGUGCAGGCCAGCAGCUGUAGCUCCAAUUUGACCUCUAGGCUGGGAACUUCCAUUUGCCACACCUGUGGCUUAAAAAAGUAAAAAUAAAAUAAAAUAGAAAUAAAAGCCUAACUGAAGCUUUUUUUCCUGCGAUAGAUCUGGGAGAGGUUUUCUUCUUGUUUCAACCUACUGUUCAGAGAGGAAGCGUUUGAAGACGGCUGCACCUUAAACCAGAGACAACUUUGAUAGCCAACAUGUGUAGAUGGUCCAUUUCAGACAGAACCCUUGAUUUCUGCCCCUCUUGAGAAGCUUAAGUUAGGUUCCCAUUCCUACCUGGUGAUAACUCCCCUGGGACGGAGCAGCCACCGAGCCUGUUACACAGCACCUGUGGUUUCCAGUUACCCUCAGUCCCCAGCACACCCUCUUGUGUCUCCUGCCCAAAGGCUCAGGGCUGCAAGUCAUUUCAUUUCCCACUUGUACUGCUUGUUUCCUGAUAAUAGCGUUCAUAGAAAAGUGGAAACUCAGUAAUUCUCUCUCUUUUUCUUUCUUUCUUUUUUUUUUUUUUCUUUUUUGCUAUUUUAGGGCCACACUCACGGCAUAUGGAAUUUCCCAGGCUAGGAGUUGAAUCGGAGCUGCAGCUGCUGGCCACAGCCACAGCCACAGCAACACCGGAUCUGAGCUGCCUCUAUGACCUACACUGAAGCCACAGCAAUGCUGGUUUCUUAACCCACUGAGCGAGGCCAGGGAUCAAACCCGCAUCCUCAUAGAUACUAGUUGGGUUCAUCACUGCUGAGCCACAACAGGAAUUCUUAGAAUUCUCUCUAAUUCCAGGUUACAAAAGUUGCACCGGGAAACUAGACCUUGCUCACCUAAAGGGUGGUCAGGAGCCAAGGGUCCUUGCAAUCAGAUUACCCAAGGAACAGCUGAAGGAAGUACACGUCCUUAACCAGGUGGGGGGGAAAGAAAAAGAACCCAGGGGAGAGUGAUGGGGAGGCACGAGGGCUCUUUUCUUUUUUCCUUUUUUUUGGUCACACCUGUGGCAUGUGGAGGUUCCCAGGUUAGGAACCAAACCAGCAGCAACAAUGCUAGAUCCUUAACCAGUAGGCCACCAGGGAACUCCUGGAGGCUCUUUUUAAAUGCUAAAAGAACCGCUAUGUACAUGGUGGAGGGUAAUUGUUCUUUCUUUCUGGGUCUCUAAUGAAGGAACUAAAAGGAAACCAACUUCAGCUCGUUAUAAAGAAAUAGAGAUUUCAGAGUCAGUGUCUUCUGAUGGCUUAAGUUUUUAGACAUUAGUUCGAAUGUGACUUCAUUGCUUUCUAGCUGUUUGACCUUUGGCAAGUUAUGUUAACUCCUGAUAUCUUAACUUUGGACGUAUAAUGUGGAGGUGAUAAUGAUCUAGUGGUUUGUAACUUAUGCAGAGGUUAGUCUAAGUCAGAGAGCUUACGGCCAAAACUGCCAAUAAUCGUAAUGAACCUUUGAAAUUCCUUCAAUUAAACUUAAAUCACAAGGACUUGGGCUCUUUGAAACUCAAAAUCCAACAGCUAAUUUCUUUUCUCUCCUCGCACUGGGCUGUUGCUUUAUUUCCUUGGGCCUUCAUAGGUCAAAGUUUAGUUUAAAAGGAGGAAGCACAGGUAAGUUUUUUUUUUUUUUUUUUUUUCUCACUUUCUUUUAUUCUCAGCAUACAUAGUUGAACUGUCACAUGUUACAUGUGAGAAUAAGGCAUACAUUUAAUGCCAUUGGGGGGAGAAUAAAGUAAUCGUGGACGCGGGUUCAAUCCCUGGCCUCACUCAGUGAAUUAAGGACCUGGCGUUGCUGUGAGCUGUGGCGUAGGUCACAGAUCCCCCAUUGCUUUGGCUGUGUGGUAGGCCGACAGCUGUAGCUCCGAUUUGACCCCUAGCUUGGGCACCUCCGUAUGCCACAAGUGUGGCCCU